GAUGAACGCUGGCGGCGUGCCUAAUACAUGCAAGUCGAGCGAAUGGAUUAAGAGCUUGCUCUUAUGAAGUUAGCGGCGGACGGGUGAGUAACACGUGGGUAACCUGCCCAUAAGACUGGGAUAACUCCGGGAAACCGGGGCUAAUACCGGAUAACAUUUUGAACCGCAUGGUUCGAAAUUGAAAGGCGGCUUCGGCUGUCACUUAUGGAUGGACCCGCGUCGCAUUAGCUAGUUGGUGCGGUAACGGCUCACCAAGGCAACGAUGCGUAGCCGACCUGAGAGGGUGAUCGGCCACACUGGGACUCAGACACGGCCCAGACUCCUACGGGAGGCAGCAGUAGGGAAUCUUCCGCAAUGGACGAAAGUCUGACGGAGCAACGCCGCGUGAGUGAUGAAGGCUUUCGGGUCGUAAAACUCUGUUGUUAGGGAAGAACAAGUGCUAGUUGAAUAAGCUGGCACCUUGACGGUACCUAACCAGAAAGCCACGGCUAACUACGUGCCAGCCGCCGCUGUAA
rnacentral:rRNA from 1 species